GAGGAAAAGAAACUAACAAGGAUUCCCCUAGUAACGGCGAGUGAAGUGGGAAAAGCUCAACUUUGAAAUCUGGCAGCUUUGCUGUCCGAGUUGUAGUCUCGAGAAGUGUUUUCCGUGUUAAACCGUGUAUGAGUCUGUUGGAACACAGCGUCAUAGAGGGUGAGAACCCCGUUCAUGACACGGCUUUUAAUGCUUUGUGAUACACUUUCGAUGAGUCGAGUUGUUUGGGAAUGCAGCUCAAAAUGGGUGGUAAAUUCCAUCUAAAGCUAAAUAUUGGCGAGAGACCGAUAGCAAACAAGUACCGUGAGGGAAAGAUGAAAAGCACUUUGGAAAGAGAGUUAAAAGUACGUGAAAUUGUUGAAAGGGAAACGAUUGAAGUCAGACGUGCGCGGUACUUGUACCACUGCAGGCCAGCAUCGGUUUCCCGAGCCGGAUAAAGGUUUGGGGAAGGUAGCAGUUUCGGCUGUGUUAUAGCCUCUUACUGAAUACGGAAUGAGAGACCGAGGGACGCAGCGCGCCGCAAGGCAAAGGGUUCGCCCUUUUCGCGCUUAGGAUGCUGGUGAAAUGGCUUUAAACGACCCGUCUUG
rnacentral:rRNA from 1 species